UACGGGGGGGGCAAGCGUUGUUCGGAAUUACUGGGCGUAAAGGGCUCGUAGGGGGUCAACUAAGUCAUACGUGAAAUCCCUCGGCUUAACCGGGGAACUGCGCCUGAUACUGGUUGACUUGAGUUUGGGAGAGGGACGCGGAAUUCCAGGUGUAGCGGUGAAAUGCGUUGAUAUCCUAAGGAACACCGGUGGCGAAAGCGGCUCACUGGAUCUCUUCUGACGCUGAGGCACGAAAGCUAGGGUAGCGAACGGG
rnacentral:rRNA from 1 species